UGGGGAAUAUUGGGGCAAUGGGGCGAAAGCCUGACCCAGCAACGCCGCGUGAGGGAAGAAGGUUUUCGGAUUGUAAACCUCUGUCCUUGGGGACGAAGGAAGUGACGGUACCCAAGGAGGAAGCCCCGGCUAACUACGUGCCAGCAGCCGCGGUAAUACGUAGGGGGCAAGCGUUAUCCGGAUUUACUGGGUGUAAAGGGAGCGUAGGCGGCGGAGCAAGUCAGAAGUGAAAGCCCGGGGCUCAACCCCGGGACGGCUUUUGAAACUGCCCUGCUUGAUUUCAGGAGAGGUAAGCGGAAUUCCUAGUGUAGCGGUGAAAUGCGUAGAUAUUAGGAGGAACACCAGUGGCGAAGGCGGCUUACUGGACUGACAAUGACGCUGAGGCUCGAAAGCGUGGGGGAG
rnacentral:rRNA from 1 species